rnacentral:lncRNA from 1 species
CUCUAACUAACACUUCAGAUCCUAACUAAACUAAAUAACUCUAAUAACUAACUCUUAACAGUUUAAUUAACAGACUUCUAGCGGCUAAUUGAUUUUGAGCUAAGAGGAUUUAAUAGAGUUAAUAUUAGUUAACUGAAAAUGCUAUAUAAUUUGAUGAUCCUCCAUCUUCAAGGGUAGAUCAUCAUUUUCACUCAUUUCACAACUUCACACUUAUCGAAUUCAAAACACUCUCGAUUCCCUCUCUCUACAUCAAACUCUCAUUCUCACUACUGCAUCACUCUCCCUCAUCCAGCUUCAAUUAUCAUCCUCUCAAUUCUCACACACACACUCAAAGCAAUACUCUCUCAUUCUCUCAAAAAUCAAGCUUUUCAGAAGCUCUCUCUUUCACUCUCACGCAUCAAACACCAAGAAGGAAGAAGAAGUAGAAGUGAAGCAAGAGUAGAAAGGAGAAGAAGAAGUCAUUCCUGCAAUCAACUUCAUCAACAUCUGCGCAGUUCUCCGAGCUCACCUCUGGAAGGUAAGUCUCGAUUUGUCUCCUUCAAAUGCAUUUCUUGUUACCAUCAUGUAGGGGAGAGGCCGAGGAAUCAAAGUCAUAACCUUAGGGACUUUGAUUCCUCCGAUUAAGCAUUUAAUUUGAAUUUCUUUUGUUAGGGUUCUUAUUGAAUUUGGCUCGGUUUGGAGAGUUUAUGUUGAAUCUGUUGAAGUUGAUAUAAGAUAUGGACAAAGCUCAUAGACUUGAUUGGAAUGAUGUA